GGGCCAGUGGCCCAGCCUGGUUAAGGCGCCCGGCUGAUAACCGGGAGAUCGCCGGUUCGAAGGCUCUGGCUGCCGAAAAUCCGGCCUGGCCCA
rnacentral:tRNA from 1 species